rnacentral:lncRNA from 1 species
GGGUCCGUCUCCAUCGCGCUCACCGGCGCCAGGGCUGCCUCCAAGCUCGCCAAGCCGGACUCUUCGCAGCUCGGCUUCUUCCUUUGGUGAUAUAGAAGAUGAAAUUGUUUGUUCUUGUAUUCUGUUACAUGGUUUGGUUUUGUUAGCCAGAUUCAGUCUUUCUUUAUCUCAGCUGAGGUUGAUGUGGGUUUAUUGGCAGAUUAUUUACAAAAGAAAUUGUUUGAGGUCAAGAGUUGAUGCCAAAUGUCCUGGAUCAGGACAACUCCUGGGAAACAAGGCGAACGGUAUGUGCGUGCAAGAUUGAAAAUUGUACUAGAUAUGUGUAGUUUGCUCCAGGAUCCUAUAUCAGUGUAUUUGCUUCGUGCAGUUCCCUAUGUCAUCCAUUAUAUUUAUAUAGGGAUAAAUUUCCACGGGUUGCUGUAAGCAAAACUCCCUAUGUACCGGCACUUGUCUCUUUACAGACUGUCCGGGCUUUCUAGAUUAGAAUAUAAUUGUUUUAGAUAAUUUGAAAUAAGUUUUUACGCCAGCUUGCACCUUUAUUAUUUGCAGCCGGGAAGUCUAUUUCUUUUCUUUUUUUUGAUUCAAAACUAUUGGCAUGAAUUGGCCCUUGCAUUUGGUCUGAGCACUGACAAUAAUUCCAACCUGUCAAUUGGGGACAGAUAUGUCCAUCACACCUGUACCUUUUAUUCAGUUUGAGGAGGAAUAAGUAGUCAAUUGGCUGAUUAAUUAUGUUUCAUGUGAUUUGUAUAUGGACGCAGUUGCAACAGUUAGCUGCAUCAACUAUAAUUUUUCUUUCGCUGGCGGGGCAUGCAUCCCGACGAGUUAUACAAUUUAGCUGAUUUAAUUCGUGGCCUAACAAUACUUUUGGUAAUAGUUGUCAACUAAAAAAGGAUCUGCUUUUUCGUAAUGAUGGCCAAAUAAAAGAGGAUCCAAACCCUCACGAGUUUACAUUGUACAAAGCUAUUAUGUGCUGACAAUAUUUUUUCUAAGUUGCUCUCUACAUCUCGGUGUUAUUAGUCUAAAUAUUCUGAUUCCAAAGGAUGUUUUCAAACAUCAGAUCUUUUAAUAAAUUUGAAACAACAUAUCUUUCUAAUUUUGGUUCUGUCUAAAAUGAUGAAAUUCAAUUUUGUUCUACUGCAUAUUAGUUUAAUCAUCUUCACCAGCAGUAUAUAUUGCAGAUAAUUGUGUUGGUUUGGUUUUUAGCAUGUAGGUAUGAUAUGGUAAGCCUCCAGUGAAGGAGGGGCUUAGAAAAAGAGAAACUGUUCUAUUUGAUAUACAAUGUAAUUUGGAAAUUAAUGGCAGAAGGCUCCUAAACUAACAUAUGAUGUUUUGUUUGAAUUUCUCUUUACCGGAUUGUGUUACUUAUGCGCAAUCACCAUACUUGACAAGGGUCCCUGAUUUUAUCACUUCCGUUGACGAGUCUUGUGUCAGCAUCUUGAUGCGAGGUACAACUUCUAGGUGAUCUUCUUCAUGUUUUACGUUGUUGUACUUUUUGCUGCAAUGUGGAUGUACAUAUUCUAGCAGAUAUAUCUUCAUGCUUUACCUUGUUUACCACUGCCCUGAUGUGGAGGUACAGAUUCUAGCUGAUAUAUAUCGUCAUGUUUUACCUUUUACCAACAUCCAAGAUUUUUGUUUCCUCAUUUCUUUCAAUUAGAUAGAAGAUGGGACGUGCUUUGUUGUAGUUUCCUCUUACUUUGACUAAGUAGGACAUUUUUUUGAAAUACCAAAUUGUGGUGUCGCUACCCCUACGCACCACGGUUUUGCAGCACCCUCAGCUAAAGUAAACCAUUCCAAGCCUACCAUACUCGAAACAUGGAAGCAUGCAAACUUCAGAGCAUCUUGGUGUCGCUGGCCACCCGAUCUCUACAACCACCACAAAAUGCUACAGGACCAACCAGGCCGGUGUCCUGACCACUGAAUCAUGUCGCUGUGUGGGCGCCUAGAUCUCCCAUGUGUCUGUCUAAAGCCUGAGGGGCCAACCUCGCUCGAGCGUCGCCAGCCAGCACUCAUCUGCACAUGAACAAAUGGUUGGAUAUAUGUGCCUCCUCCGUCUCUUAUUCCCCGAAACAUAAUUUGAUGAGUAGAGUUUCUAAUCAUUUAUGGCACACUGGCAUAUGAUUAAACUGCACAAGUUAGAUUGACAUUUUGUGGAGAACGGUCGUCGGCUGGGAGCCUCGCCGUCUACCUCCACCAGCCGGCCCACACACCAUUGCUCCCCGCGUGUCGCGCCCCUCCCCGAACCAUCAUGCCUUCUAAUUAGUGUACGUGGUAGUCUGGUAAAAGUGGAGAAUAAUUCGGGUAAUGUCUAUGGAUGUACUACCAGUAUUGCGGCUAACCUGCCUGGCAGUGAGAUGCAUCUAGAUUAGAUCUGAUUACUGAUAUAGAAGAUGAAAUUAAUUAUCUAAAAUUUUCCUUGUACCAUUUUCCAUGAGAUUAAUGUAAUUGGGAAUACCAGUGCUUGUUUGAAUCAUUUAGUUAAAUAAUUUUAUAGAUAAAACUUGUAUUUGUAUGUUUUGGAAUUACUAUUAUCCUGGUAAAAUGACCACAAGUGAAAGGGUUGUAAAGAUUAAUUAUUCUUUGUGGAAGCAUUACUGGUCUAAUUAAUAGAUGUACAUGCAUCAAUAAUGUUGUUGAGCUUUAGUUGAUUCUAUAGUGUUGUACUAUUCGCAAAGUUCUAUUUUGAGAAAAGAAAUAGCAAAUUCAAUAUUGUGGCAGCUAAAUGGCGCACCCGCUGUAGCAAGUGAGUGCCCAUCAAAAUCACCCUGAGCAUAUUUUUGCUGAUUUUCAUGAUUGCUCUUCUGCCAGGAACAAUGUUCCUGGCACUUCGACCACACAACUGUAUGUUCAUGUUCCAGAGUCCUUAUUCAUAGUUAAUUUCAAUCACAAAGUGACAAAUGUCAGUCUAUUAGUUAACAUGUGUAUCUCCGUUUCUUCUAAGUUUCAAUCGACCUACUCUGAAGUUGUUCCUAAGAUAGUGCCUCAAGCAAAGGGAAUGAGCCUCAGUUAGUGCAUCUAGCAAGUUCGCGAUCCUUUGUUGGGAUAAACAUUUGUGCAAGAGCAAUAGUCUCGUCACUAUUGGUUGUUAGUACUGUUGCUUGUUAAUUCUACUUUUUACUUCAGUUCGUAAUGCAAUAUAGUUAUGCUUGACGCACUAUAAGAAGACUGCCAUUUUGCCUUUUGACCUUGGUUUCUUCCUCCAGUAAGUAAAUGCACAUAGUUCUUUUGUAAAUUAGAGCAUACGACUUGUUGAUCGAUCUCUGAGCUCAGUAAUAAUAUUAAGCCUCAAUCUGUUUAUUGUGCACACAAGAUGAGAAAGAAUUGCUACCCAAGAAUAUGUACUUUAUAAACAUUUCAACUGUAAUCUGGAAUAAAAUUAAAUAAAUAAGGAAACAGUAUAUUCAUAUAUCUUUUUUGUACUUUGAUGGUGUCACACCACAAGUUCCGAGAUGGUAAUUGUGCUGCAUAUGUCUGCUCUCUUACUUUGUUUUUCUGAACAGGUAGGUUCUGGAAGAUGUCAUGAAGAAUUUCUUUCAGAGAAUUUGCGUGAGGUGUGUCUAAAUGAUUUUUAUCUUCUGAACAUAUUCUUGUAUGACUAACUGAAUUCAUUUUUUCAAAACGUCGGUACUUUUCCUUUUUCAUUUAUGUUGCUCGAUUGAGUCCACAUGCCUGCCCUUACUGAGUUUGCUCAAGAGUAAGAUAAACUUGAUAUUUAUGUUUGUCGGCAGCAGCGUGACUAGCUGAUCUGUAGCGGCGCGGAAGGUGAGCUUGGCUGCAGGUAGCAGCUCCUUUGGCUGAUCUGCGGCGAUGCAGAAGUUGGGUUGGAAAGAAGCACGACCGGCUGCUCUGAAGUGGGACGUAGGGAGAGCUUCGUAAGAGAUAGGGAGGGAGCUCUAUUGGCCCGUGCAUGACAUCCAACCCAAUGGCAUCAUGCCCUGGUAAGCUUCUUAUCUGUUCCAAUUCUUGCACUUGGUCUUUUUCUUUCUAACCCUAAAAAUAGAGUGUGCCUUGAUUCCUAAUCAUGCUUUAAAAGCUGAUAUCCACCUCGUUUAUCUUGCUACUAGUGGUAAUGUGUGCAAGUAUGAUUUUGUGAUAAUGCCAGAUGUUGUGUGCCUUCUUUAUUCAUGGUACGAGUACUCUAACCUGGCUCGUAUGAUAAUGUAUCACUGCUAUAGAGCACAAACGACGUGUUUUUUAAUUAUAUUUUAGUUGACAUGGAUUUCAUUUAUCUUGUGAAUUGUAUAGUCAGAUCAUGAAUUUUUAUGAUUGAUUGAUUUUCAUGGUCACAGGUAGGCAUGGUUGUGUGGCCACGGGGAAAAUGGAGCAAGUAGCAUGUGAGGAGUUUAACAAAUGGGGACAAGGGACAGUUUAGUUAAUUAAGGCUCUAUGUUAGUUUCAAGUUUUAUCCUUGUUGCGGUAAGAAAUUAUGGUUGGAUUAACCACCAUGUGUUGGAAAUAUGCCCUAGAGGCAAUAAUAAAAGUAUUAUAAUUAUAUUUCCUUGUUCAUGAUAAUUGUUUUUUAUUCAUGCUAUAACUGUAUUAUCCAGAAAUCGUAAUACACGUGUGAAUA